GGGGGUUGUGAUAAGGAUCUUUUGGAUUUAUGAAGCCCCUAUCUUUAAGGACCAAAAUGUAACAUGGGAACAAGUUAAGUAAAAAUGUGUGACAGGUAAUAUGGCUUGGCUGUGUGUUAGAGACUUUAAUGACAUUAGAGGGGAGCAUGAAAAGGAAUGGGGGAGGCCUAAAGAAAAAAAGAAAGAUGGAAUAUUUAAUGAAAU
rnacentral:lncRNA from 1 species